UAAUGGGUGUAAACCGAAGGCCGGGACAAAGGAUCGCGAUCCCGCGAGGGUGAGCUAACCCCAAAAACCCGUCCUCAGUUCGGAUUGCAGGCUGCAACUCGCCUGCAUGAAGCCGGAAUCGCUAGUAAUCGCCGGUCAGCCAUAAACGGAUGAAAUCA
rfam:Nicotiana attenuata strain TT chromosome 1, whole genome shotgun sequence.